GCUGGGUUGUUGUCUAAGAUCUGCUGGCUUUCCUUCACCCGGUUAGCGACCCUGAGGACGUGCCUGGGAAGAGAACGUUUUAGCUUGUGAAAUCCAGUCACCACAGAAGAGCUCGUCCCCCAGUCGUGUGAGAAGGCCGAGGCCAUAUUUGAGGUUCCAGCCAUUUCUGGAGGGCCCUGGAUACACAAUUGUGAUCUCACCUCUAUGGAACAAUAAAAAGGAAGAUAGCAAGUUGUCAUCAUCAGUGCCGCACUGUUCCACCUACUCCUAGAGGCUUUCCCACACUGCUGAGAAAGACAGGGAGACAGAAACUCCAUGGACACAGUGGGUGCAUUUGAAUCAUGCAAAUCUACAGUGACUAAUGUAAGUGCAUUUUAGAUCUUAAAGUUACUAAACAUGUUGAUAUCAUUAAAAUGCAUUUUUGAGCUUCAGUGACUUUCCCAUAAUGCAUGAGCUAAAAUAAACAAAAAAACGACGGUCCUCUUUAUGCAAACAGUUACUACGUGACUGAGCUAUCCAGAGCUGUAUUCAUAGGACAGUAAGUUCAUUUAAUUCACAAUAGCUGCACAGACCAGUUACUUUGGAUUGAUCUCAUGACUGGGUUCAGCCAUGGGCUGGACCCUGUACCCAGAAGGUCGCCGGUUCGAUCCCCAGAGCCAACAGUACGUGACUGAGGUGCCCUUGAGCAAGACACCUGACC